GAAGUGAAAGAUUACCAAAAGGCAAGUGAUGCAACCGAAACCGAUCAUCAAAUACCGGCCCACGUAGGAAUCGGCGAGAAAGGCCCCAAGAAUCGGCAGAAAACUCGAAGCAGCUGACCAAAAGAAGAGUACGUUCGUACCUUCUGUUAUUUUCAUGUUAUAUUCUCUGCACAGAUACAGUAUCAUGUUUGGCAUAAACCCAGUACUUGCCAUCCUCUCAAAUGCUUCAUUUGCUGUCCACCAAAAAUAAAGCAAAUAAAAUAUAUUACACACAAUUGAUCAAAAGGGUAACAACAUCAACAUGCAUGCAUGUAGUAUACAUAUUAACAGAAAAAGCACAAGAUUUUUUUUUUUUUUUUGGGGGGUCAAGUGAAUAACUUACCAAUGAUGAAAGGCAAGGUUCUGAUGCCACCCUUUGGGUUUUUGUUGAUCAAGAGUGGCUCUGUGAUCAUUUUCUUUUCUUCUGAACAUGUUUCCAUUUUGAUUCUUUGUUGCUGUUUGCUUGCUUAGUCUUCUGUUUCUUUGUGCUUAUGGAGACUAAUCUAUUAUCUAUGUAAGGAGAUUUUACACGUAGUAGAUAUAGUGUAGUGGCACCCACCGAAAGUGAGAAAUGCUAACAUGCAUGUGGAGAGCACUGAUACGAUAGAAAGUGGAAGAACAUCAACGACGCUACCAAUUAACUAGAUAAUUUGUUUUCUUUUUCUUUCUUUUGAGAGGUACUAAUUUAAUUAAAUAAUUAAGAUGCUGCGUAUGGGGGAAAAAAUCUCAUAAUAACAAUUGUUUAUGAAAGGAAUAGCCAAUAAUCUGUGAUUAGUUAAUGAAAGUGGGAUAUUGUUUUGAAUUCUUUAACCGUCCGAUGUGACUUCCACUUUAUGGGCAGUUGGAAGUUACGCCUAGUCAAAAGAAAGAAGUGGGAAAUUUAAAAAAUAAAUAUAUAAAUAAACAAGUGGAAUAACUUAGAAAAUGGAGGAAUAACACAUAGAUCCCUCUAUUUGUAUAUUGUUUUAUUCAAACUAUACUUGGUCUAUUUGCGUAAAACAAGUUCCCGACGCCUUCAGAAAUGAUAGUUAGUUAGUUACCUUUAUUUAGGGCCGAAUUUGAGCAGUACAUUAGUAAUGAAGUCAUGUCCUCACUCAACCUAAAGCAUAAUACAACCCUCGCUUAUCUUAUGGUGUGAAGUUUUGCAGCUCUCUCAUCUUUUUGUAUAAAAAUUAUUAGCUUAAGAUUGUAUAAAAAAAUUUUAACCUCAACGUAAAAAUAGUCUCUAAAAUUUUAAUAUUACAAACUAUUAUUCUAUUUAAUAUUAUAAAGAUCCCAAGUAAAUAUCUACAGAAGGGAAGCCUAGAUUACUAAAUAUAUAUGGAGAAUAAUGAGUAUAAAAAUCUAAUAAGUUAAAGGGAAAUCUUCGGAGAAAGGAGGAGCAUGAUAUGAUUUAUUUGAAGAACAUAUUCAUGAAUACAGGAAGAUGACCGGACUAAGGUGUGGCUGCUCAUAUCUUGGCUAUUUUAAUAAGGAUUGAGGACUUAUUUGAUAUAAAAUGAUAAAAUGUGGCCGUUGUUUUAGAAAAUAAAAAGAGAACAAGGGAUACAGACGUUAUUGUCUAUGCUCAACUAAACAGAAAUUGCUGGAGUCGCGACACCACAUCCUUUGAAUUUACUUAAAGUAAAACAGUAAAAAUUAAAAACAACCCAAAAUGCGACACGGCACGGAGGGUCAUUCUCGGAAAUGCGGGCCACCUUUACCUCGCCUUUCAACUUCUUUGUCAUUGUUUCAAACUUUCGAGGCGCAGAGAGGGAGACACCAGACGCUGAACUCGCGCACUUGGUUACACGUACCCGUGUCGGUAUUUUAGUACCCUUUUCUUUUGUUUUUUUGAGAAGUAGUACCCUUUUCAGUUAGUGCUGUGGUUGCCCUUGGCACCGUGGUCCCCGGUCGGUGGCGUGAUGACGACAUGAACGAGAAGAAUCUACGCAUUAAAAAAUUGGUAAAGUAGAAUUUCAUUAAAUUUAUAAUCGAUAAAGGUGUUAAUUUGAUUGAAUAAUAAUUUUUAUUGUUCUCGAUUUGAGGCUAGAUAAAUUAAUUAAAAAUUUAAAAGAAUCUCAAUUUUCUAAUAAAUUCCAAUUAAUACAUAAAUUAAUAAUUAACUAAUUUGAAUAUAAAUGCUAUGAGACUUUUAUAAAAUAAAUUUUCAAUGUUGCUUUCUUCUUCUUGACAUUGGUUUUACUUGAACUUCAUCUCUAAUUUUUUAUAAUGCUGAAAGAAAUUUCGGCAUGGUGUUGCCGCCUUGCCAGGGGCGGAAGUGUUAAGUGGCAGCCCGGUAUAGGAAAAAAAAAAUCAGUUAGUUUGAUUAAAAUUACGAAAAUGUCAUUAAUUGUUAAUUACGAAAAUACCAUCAAUUGUUAAUUACAAAAUAUUAUCCAUCAUUAUUACUUUUCCUUUACUUCCACCGACACCAUUAGAAAAAAAAAAAAUUCAAACCCUUCUAGAUUCUUCAUUCUUCAUCAAUUCACCGUCAUUGCUUCACAACUCACAAUUCAUCAUCCGUUUAUAUCUUCCAAUUUCUUUGCAAUACAUUUUUAUAUUGGUAUGUUACUAUAUUUUUAGAACUUGCAUAAAUUAUUUAUUUUUUUAGAUAGAUUUUAUUAAUUUAUUAUUUUGAAUGUUUAAUUGGCUUUUUUUUGUAAUUAGUUUUGUGAUUUAUUAGUUUGAGUUGAUUUAUUAUUGUUAUUUUUUCACUAAUAAUAUUUUUUAAAAUGGAAAAGAUGAACAAAAUGAAUUGUUUAAUUUAUUUAAGCAUGCUAAUUAAGCUCGUAAUUAUUAAUUAAUUUAUUAAUUCUUAUGUAGUUUCAUGUUAUAGUAAUUCAUAGGUUAUAGUGUCCGAUAAAUCUAAGAUAAGGAAAACUCUUCUUUCAUUCUUUACCAAAAUAGAUGGUGGUCAAUCAUCAAAUGGAACAAGUUCUCCGUGCAAUAUUGAUGCCUCAAUUUCUCUUAAAUCUCAAAGAGCCAAAUUUGAGAAAGUUGACAUUUCAUCCACUAUUGACAUCUCUUAUUUAUAACGUGAUCCCGAAUUACACAUCUCAAUUAAAACUUAUCCUAUUAAGAAACGUUAAGAUGUGUGGAUGCAUAUAUAAAUAUCGGACCAUUCCAUCCCAAGCUACAAAAGUACCCAUCAACUAAACACGGUAUACAAAAUCGUCGAUUUCAAUUUUCUUGGUUCUCAAAAUUUCCUUAGCUUGAGUAUUCCUUAUCAAAAGAUAAAGCAUUUUGUUUUCCAUACUUUUUUUUAGGGAGAUUGUCAAUUUCCCCCCUACAGUAAUCAACAUAUACCAUUUCUCCCCCUGCUGUUUUUAUAAUGGCCAAAAACUCCCCUAAUAGCAUAAGUUUACAAUAUUACCUUUAUUUUCAACUACUCUUUUAUUUAUAUUUAUUAUAAAUUAAAUAAAUCACAUGAAUAGAAACUAAAUAAAAAAUUAAGCAUUAAAAACAAGAAAUAUAUGUUUUGAUAUGAGAAAAAAAUUAAUAAUAAAUUUUUUUUCUUGUACUUAUUCAUUUUGUGAAAAUUUUCUUAUAAUAAACAUAUAAGAAAAUUAUUAUAAAAUGAUAAAAAAAUUAUUAUAAGAAAACUUGAAUGAUAAAUAAAAAUUUAUUAUAAGAUAAAUAAUAAAAUAUUUUGCCUAUCUUUUUACAUUUAAUUUUAAAUAUUACAAAAUGUUUAUUAUAAGAAAAUAUUCAUAAAAUAAAUAAUUACAAGAAAAAAAAUUUAUUAUUAAUAUUUUUGCUCAUAUCAAAACAUAUAUUUCUUGUUUUUAAUACUUAAUUUUUUUAUUUAGUUUCUAUUCAUGUAAUUUAUUUAAUUUAUAAUAAAUGUAAAUAAAAGAGUAGUUGAAAAUAAGGGUAAUAUUAUAAACUUAUGCUGUCAGGGGAGAAGGGGGAUAAAUGGUAUAUGUUAAUUACUGUAGGGGGGAAAGUGGCAAUCCCCCUUACUUUUAAUGAUGGUUCGCUAUGAAAACCGUCAUUAAAAAUAAACAAUUACAAUGAAGGUUUUGUUUGAAAAUGGUCAUUAAAUGUAUAGUUAAAAUUUAAUAUUAAGUUUAAUGCAGGUAUAUUAUAAAAACCAUCAUUAAAAAUACAUACUUACAAUGAUGGUUUUUAAACUUAACCAUCAUUGUAUAUCCACUAAAAUAUAACCUUAAUAUUAAUGACAGUUAUUUUAGGAACCAUCAUUAAAAGGAAACUAUUAACCUUCAUUCAUAACUGUUUAUUUUAUAAACGGUCAUGGAAUAUACAAAUAAUAAAAGUGAAGCCGAUUUCAAGACUUGGGCAUUUUAUUUCUUCACUUCAGAAUGUCUCUCCCAAAUGCCCAAAUUCCUUCCAUCACUCUCUCAUUUCUCUCCAGAAUCGACAUUCAAGCAAAAUAUAAUUUUAGCCAAGAUUGAUUGUUGCCCACUUUGCAACCAUCACAACCUUGACCCAAUACAUAGCACCUAAUGUUAAAAAAGAGUUAUUAAAUAUUCUUGCUAAUAAAGUGCGAUACAAGAUUCGGAAGGAAAUUGCAGAUACUAUUGAUUCAGAAUCCAUAAUUGAUGAAUUCCAUUGUUUGAAGCCGCGAAAAGUACAACUUUAGUUAUAUUUUUGUUUUGGAUUAUAUUUUUAUUUUCUAUUUUUAUAUAAUUAUUUUGUUUAAAGUAAUUAUUAUUUGGUGUAAUAUUUCUAAUGUCCUCAUCUUAUUAUGUGUAUUUUAUUUUUUUCUUAUAAAAUUUUAUGUUCACUUUACAAUAUAACUUUUUUUUAAAAAAUUUAGCCUGAAGUACUUUAAAAUCCUGGAUCCACCCCUGCACUUUGCAACAAGAAAUUAUUCAAUGUCACUAUUAAUUAAAGUGUUUAUUCGGGGGAAAACGAGAUUCACACCACGCUUUGCACCACACAUAGCACCGAACGGUGCGUUUUGAAAUAAAUAUAAAUAGUCAUUGUGAAUUGAUAAUUUUGACACUUGCAACACACACGCGCUCUCUCGUUCUCUCCCUCUAACGACACAAAAUCUCCCCGUCGACUCCUUUUUCUCUCCCCUCCAGAUCGAGCAGCCGUGGGUUAUUUUCUCUCAAUCUCCCCUCCAAAUCCAGCGGCCGUCGGUCGCUCUUUCAUCCCUCAAAUCUACAACAGCCGUGGGUUACUCUCUCUCAUCCCCCCAAAUCCACAGCAGCCGCAUGUUACUUUCUCUCAUCCCUCUCCAAAUCCAGCAAUCCACGAGAUGGAGAGAGAGACAGCUAACAAUAAUCAAAACUCAACAAAUCGCCAACCAAAUUUGCCCAGUUAAAACAAACCAAAUUUGCCUAGUUAAAAAAAUAAUCAGCAAUCAAGAAAUCAUGCCGACAAAAUUUGCCCAGUUGAGAAUCAAAAAAUUAAGCCAACCAAAUUUGCCCAAUGAUUUGCUUCAUCACGAGUGAAAAAUUCAAGCCAACUAAAUUUGCAACAAAUCGCCAACCAAAUUUCCCUAGUUAAAACAAACCAAAUUUGCCUAGUUAAAACAAUAAUCAAGAAUAAAGAAAUCAUGCCAACAAAAUUUGCCCAGUUGAGAACUAAAAAAUCAAGCCAACCAAAUUUGCCCAAUAAUUUGCUUCAUCACGAGUAAAAAAUUCAAGCCAACCAAAUUGAAUAUGUAUAUGGAACAAAAAAAUUGCAGAAUUAGAGAGGGGAUAUGAGAGAGAGUAACCCACAGCUGCUGUGGAUUUGGGGGGUGUGAAAGAGUGCUAUGGUCCAGUGAGAUGAGGGUGGUAUGCGCUUGCGUUUGAGUGUGGUCUGCGUUUGCGUUUCAGUGAGACAAGUGUGUAUGUGGUCUGCGCUUGCGUUUGAGCAAGACACGCGUGUGUGUGUUUUAAAGCUACAGUAAGUUCUUUUAAAGUUAGCACAAAACGAAUCGUUUUGUGCUAACUGUGGUCCUAAUUGGUGUGAGCAUAUCAGUGCUGUUAUUCGGGUGAGAUGGUCUUGAGAGUGAAACUAUUACCUUCAACUUCUUCCUCUUUAAUCUUUAUUAUUUUUCAUUAUACUUUCAAUUAUUUGAUCGUCACUCAAAUGAAAAUCGUAUCACACAACUUGAAAGAAUCUUUACUCUAAUUAUAUUACAUCUAUACAUCAUAAAAAUUUAUAUUCUAAACAUGAUAUUAUCUUCAUAGAUUAAUAUUAUGAAUUAAUUAAUAAUUUAUUAUUAUUAUUAUUAUUAUUUGGUGCUAUAUUAAAUUAUAAUAUCACGACAUUAGUGUAUACAUUCAUAUAUUCCAUUACUGCAUGUUCUUAAUUAAAGGUGAAAGAACUUUCUGAAUUGAAGUGCGCAUAAUUUCUUUUGCCUUUUAUCACACACACACAUAUAUGUGCACAGCACAUGCAUGAAUGUUAGUAGUUUUAUAAUCAUGGAUUUUAAAGUGCGGGAAAGUACGAGAAAAUUUUAAAACCACACGAUUUUAAAGGCUUAUAGUUUUAAUUCUUUAAAACUAUACGGUUUUAAAACUUUUCCACAUUUUAAAAUUCCGAACUGAAACAUUUCUCGCAUAAAUGUAGUACCAUAUCUCAUCUCCUUGUAAAACAUUUUUGGAUUACACCACCUUUUAUUUCCUAAUCUUUAUCUCUUUUUUUUCUUUUUUUUUUUUACUUUUCCUUUUCAGUCCCAGUGGCCACUGGCCAGUGCCACUUUGAUGGGCAAAUUUGAGUUCAAACUUCCAACAUAUUGCAACGACACUAUUUUCAUGCUAUACAAUUGUUUGGCAUUAGAAUCUCUCUUAUACAUAAAAGUAGAGCAGAUAUAUAUUCUUUUAUAUAUGAAUGAAAAUUUAAACUAUAUCAUAAUAGAAUUAAUUUAAUAGAUAAUCUCAAUAUAUUCUUAAUUAUAAAUGUGUAUAAACAAAUUAUAUUCUUUUAUAUACAUAAAAUUUAUUCAAUGUUACAUUCAAUUCAUUCUUUUAUAUUCUUAUAACAGUUUAAUAAUAAGAUUUAUAAAAUAUAUAUGACUUUCAUAAUAUUUUUAAAAAUAAAUUUAUUAAAUAUUUAAUUAAUAAUCUUCACAAUGCAUUACCAACUAGCCUAAGACUUAAGGAGAGAAUCAGGCAUAGAGACAAUCAAGAUCGAUUCGUCGUUGAUGUUUGUUGAUAAAUAUGUAAGUUUAAAUUAACAUAUAACACAAUAUAAUCUUUUAUUCAUAUAAUCAUCAAAUUUUCUUUUGAAUUACAUUGAAAAUCAACGACGACAAUUUCUCUUAACUUAAGAAAUUCAGCAAAGGUUCCUUCCGAUGAGAGCAAGCUCCUUAUACAACGAUCUGUUAUUACUGUUGUUAUAAUUAUAAUUAUCAUAACCCAUAAGAAUGUCAUAGGCUUGCCGUCUUUUUGUAUUGGAAAGAACCUCCCAAGCUUCAUUAAUAAGCAAAUUUGCAGUCUCAGCAGCGACAGAAGAACAUUCAUCAGGAUGAAACAACUGUGCCAAGCCCUCAUAACUCUGCCUGAUUUCGUCCUCUCCGGCUUUAUGAUCUUUGAUACCCAGAACCAAAUACCAGCUUUUGGUUUGCACUGCGACUUUGUGCACCAUGUAAGAGCUUAAGUAGUUAUCGAGGCCCGGAAGAUUAGGGUUCUUAAGCCGUGCUGUUUUAAUGGCAUAGAGUGCGGCAUCAAUGUUUUUGUUUAUGAAUAACUCCUCUGCCAUGUCUCUGCAGGCUUCAGCUUCCAUAUUUAUGAGCUUCGGGAAUAGAGCCUCUGCGGCUACUGGAUUGCACAACGGAGGAGGCAUUGUUGAAUUGAAAAACAGAGCCAGAAACAGAGAAUGUAAUGUUACUUUGUUGGGUAAGUGAUAAAAUAGGCUAGCUUUAUCAUGCAGAACAAGGAUUCCUUUUUGGCGUUUUUUUUGAGUCUUUCCUAAUAAAAUAAGUAAUCAAGAUUGAAUUUUAAAUGUUGA
rnacentral:lncRNA from 1 species